rnacentral:ncRNA from 3 species
ACAGCCAAGGGAACGGGC